rnacentral:lncRNA from 10 species
CUGUUGAGGCCACGGUCAUCUCCGAUUGGUACAGCUCCGAGACCCCGAGUCCUGAUUGGAGGUCGAAGACAGUGCGUGCUGCUCGGCCCCACUCAUCCAGUCACAAAGGGCUGGGGCGGUCGCCGCGCUCGCGUGUUUGCGGAGUGCGCCUGGAGGGGGCGCUGGAGUAUGUGUGUGCCGGGGCGGGGUGGCUUCCGGGCACGAGUUGCUGACAGCGCCUCGCGGUUGAUAAAUCCUGAGGGCGGCGGCUACCCUGCACUCCAUCGGUGCCUUUGGGAAGCGCCGCCUUCUCUGUUGUACCCGGCCGUGGGUCAGGUCGGCGCGGCUGGCGGUGGAGUCUCGGACACCGAGCCCUGGACCCCGACUCUGGAAGCCCCCAGCCCCACUGGGCCGCGGCAGGGCGCCCACCCUCCACAAUCUCAGUUCCCAGCCGGGGAGUGAGGGGCUGGGCGGGUCUCUCCACCGCUUUGGAGACCUCAGGACUUGGAUACGCUUUUGAGUGGUCCCAGUCGUCCUGAUCCACGAAGGCGUGGAGUGGAAGUCAGGACCAGGGGUCGCCCCAGUGACGCAGGAAGUCAAGCCCAGAUGCGGUGAGGCGUCGCCAGCCUUGGACCCAGCAGUGGGCGCUGGUGACAGUGGCGACCUCGCCGAUGAGAGGGUCUUGCUCUGCUGCUGACACUGGCCUUGAGCUGCUGGUCUCAAGCGAUCCUCCAGCCUCAGCCUCCUGAGUUGGGAUUACAGGCACAAGCCACAGUGCUCGACUUUUUAUUUAAUCUUGUUAGAAGACAAGACAGAAACAUGUCCGUUGUGAAAACAAGGAAGCUGCGGGCAGAUCGAUUGACCCCAGGAGUUCAAGACCAUUCUGGGCAACAUAGCAAGACUCUAUCUCUGAAGACAAAACCAGCCAACCAACCAACCAACCAAUCAACCAACAAAAAAGAUCAAGCAGAGGUGCUCCAGAGGACGCAGCAAUAGAAUUCCGGAGCAAUGUCUGCUUGGCCUCGGUCUUCAUUCCCAUGGUGGCCCCUGAGUUCCGUGGAGCUCACUUCUACAUAGUUCCAUGUGUGACUUCAACAAAAUAAAAUGACGCAUUUAUUGGUUAAAAAUCAGAGAUUACCAUCAGAUAUGGAAAAUUGCUUUUACUUGGUAAUAACAAUCUUACGCACUUUUUACCAAACCCAUCGCAUUAAAUAACUAGCGUUUCAAAUUUUGACACUGCAUAAUAAACCCUCAUUUGAAAUGACUGGAGAAAUACUCAUCAAAUCUCAUGGAAGAAUGACAGAAUUUUCUCCAGAAUUUAUCGGAAAGGAAAAGAGGUUGGACUGUCAGGAAACGUUUUCAGGGUAACAUACUUACUAUUUUCUAGACAGUUACUCAGAUAACACUUGUACGCAGAGGGAAACACACCCCUGGGCUUUGCAAACACUUGUUUCCUGUGUGUCAGACUCGCCUGCAUCCUGUUUAUCAAAUGGAACGGAUAGUUAUUGAAAGCAAAGACCAGAACAACUUACCUCUUGUCAGUCACCUGCUUUUCUUUACUUGUCAUACUUUUAGCAUUUACAAAGUUUUAAAAAUGUGUUUAUCAUUUGGUAAUUAUUUUUAAACUUUAUUUGAAAAUAUAGACUGAGUUCUGAACAAAUUAUCCUUAAAUUUCUUCCUCUAGUAGUUACACUUUUCAGUAUCAGUGAAGUUUUAUGACGCCUCUAUUUUUCCUACCCACACAGCAUCUCAAGUUUGUCUUUACAGAAUAACUGGAAGUCCUAGCUUUAUCCUCUCUCUGCGUUUCUCUCUCACAGCCCCCUCCUCUUGGACUCUGCUCUUCCUCUCAGCACCGUAACCUUUUUAAUUUCCAGAUAGGUUUUGAAAACACCAUCUGUUCCCCUCUUAGGAUCCCUGGGGCAGAUGAUAGGUGAACCCCACAUCCCAGACACAUGGCCACCAAAGAUAUUCUUGCUUUUUUAAUGUUUAUCAAGUUCCUCCGCAGACAACAGAAAAAAGUGAUCCGCUGCCAGCGACAGGGAGACACACAACUGGUCCUUAUUCUAAAGACCCGACCCAGCCUGGAAUGGGGCCCGGCGAGGAGUUCUUGCGCCGGCCGCGGGGACUGGGCGGUAAUGAGCCGCUAGUCUCGGAAGGUGGUGCUGUUGGGUGUGAGGGGAGAUCCGGCUUGCGCUGAAACAGCGAGCGGCGUGCAAGGAGGAAGCCGCGAUUUCCAAGGCGGAUUCCCUUCGCUGGGACACAACUCUUGAGAAUAAGACUUAUAAGGACUCUGAGAGUUUGAGGCAGAGGCAGAACGGCUCUGGGCUGAGUGAUGGGGAGGAUACCAGCACUCAGCGCGGGUGGCGGGCGCGGGGCCGAGCGCGCGCAUCCAGGGACGCCUUGGGGACGGGACGCGGAGAAAAGUUGCCGGGCGGAGAGAAAGGGUGGCGCUGGAAACCAAAUGGCUUUCAUCCCCUGGAGACAAAGAGGUGCCUUCUUUUGACAACAGCUGCCAGUGACACACACACCAUACGGCGGGGCCGGCGGGGGAGGGGAGCCCGGGAGGAGAGCGUCUAAGGCGGGGACCGGCACUGACUUUCAAUAAUGGGGUGGUUGCCAUGGUGACGGGCCAGGCAUCUAAAGGGGCGGCUGAAAGCACCCAUUGUUCUGGGGCCCGGCUGCUCGGGUUGUGCCUGUUCCUAAGAGACACCUUUAGACACCUCCCUCCGUGCAGGGGCGAGCUGCGGCCCGGGGCUGGGAGCGUCUCCGCGGGAGUUUCACACCAGGGCCCCAGGCCGCAGAUCGCAGCGCCGCCUUGGCUGCACGCGCGCUGCAUACGGAGGGCAGCGCCGCCUCCCACGCACUAUCCGCCCGAAAUCCGAGCGCGACGCGCGCCCGCCUGGGCCCAGACGCGCAGGCCGGGACACGCAGCUCCGCCUGCUCCCCGCUGUCCCGGGGAGACUUCGAAUAACAAUGCGGAGCAGGACCCGGUGACUCCACAAAUAACUCGCUGAGGUCUGGGGCGAGGGCACUCGGGAAAACCCCGCAGUCACUUUGCAGUCGUGCUGGAAGGAAAAGCAGAACGGAAUCACAGGAUAAAGAAGAUUAAAAGUAACAGGGCAGCGUUGCAAUGUUGCUUGUAAGAGCAAGCAGCUGGAAACAACCUAAAAGCCCGUCCCUGGGGGCUGGGUGAAUGAUAUGGGGCGCAUCCCUCUGAGGGAACACUAAGCUGCCAUUAAAGAGUACAGGGCAGCUGUAUUUGCUGAGACGUGGAAAUUUUCCGGUGUAUUCUAAGUAAUAAAGUGCAGAAGAGUGUGAGUAGGGCUGUGUGUAUGUGGUAUGUGUGUUUGCAUCUCUGGAAGUGGUUGCUUCUUAGGAUGGUCACUGUGGGACUAGGAGUGGAGGAGAGAAAGAAAACUUGCUUUUCACCGUACUAGAAUCUUCUGCACCUUUUGAAUUUUGCCGUUUAUACUAUGUCUUUACCUGUAAAGAAAAAAGAACUUUGAAAUAAAGUUGCAUUUGCUUGAACACUGUCUAAUGAGAUGUGCCACUCUCCAUAAAGCAUCUGAACUCAUUUUUAGUGCUUUAAUAAAUAUUAAUUUUUAAAAUAUAUAUGCACAAAUGCUAUUAGCCCACAGAUAUGUAAAGGUAGUGACAGUGGCAAGUUAGAGAUGAAAAGAUACACUUCUUUCCUGCCUUCCUGUGGUGCCGAGACGGACGGAGCCAGCUGUCAUUCAAGGAGCCUGCUGUAUAACCCAUCUAUUAUUAUAUCACAUUAAUCAUAGGGAUCUCACAUUAAACAAACAUGACAUUAGGGAAAUUUUCCUAGUUACAAAAUGGUAUAUAAUCAGUGAAAUGGACUAUUGAACACCAAAUGUCAUAGAUUUUUUUUUUUUUUUUGAGACGAGUCAAGCUCUGUUACCCAGGCUGCAGUGCAGUGGUGCGAUCUCGGCUCACUGCAAGCUCCGCCUCCCUGGUUCAAGUGAUUUUGCUGCCUCAGCCUCCG